rnacentral:rRNA from 1 species
UACGUAGGGUGCGAGCGUUAAUCGGAAUUACUGGGCGUAAAGCGAGCGCAGACGGUUACUUAAGCAGGAUGUGAAAUCCCCGGGCUCAACCUGGGAACUGCGUUCUGAACUGGGUGACUAGAGUGUGUCAGAGGGAGGUAGAAUUCCACGUGUAGCAGUGAAAUGCGUAGAGAUGUGGAGGAAUACCGAUGGCGAAGGCAGCCUCCUGGGAUAACACUGACGUUCAUGCUCGAAAGCGUGGGUAGCAAACAGGAUUAGAU